rnacentral:rRNA from 1 species
GAUGAACGCUGGCGGCGUGCCUAAUACAUGCAAGUCGAGCGAAUGGAUUAAGAGCUUGCUCUUAUGAAGUUAGCGGAGGACGGGUGAGUAACACGUGGGUAACCUGCCCAUAAGACUGGGAUAACUCCGGGAAACCGGGGCUAAUACCGGAUAACAUUUUGAACCGCAUGGUUCGAAAUUGAAAGGCGGCUUCGGCUGUCACUUAUGUAUGGACCCGCGUCGCAUUAGCUAGUUGGUGAGGUACCGGCUCACCAAGGCAACGAUGCGUAGCCGACCUGAGAGGGUGAGCGGCCAACCUGGGACUGAGACACGGCCCAGACUCCUACGGGAGGCAGCAGUAGGGAAUCUUCCGCAAUGGACGAAAGUCUGACGGAGCAACGCCGCGUGAGUGAUGAAGGCUUUCGGGUCGUAAAACUCUGUUGUUAGGGAAGAACAAGUGCUAGUUGAAUAAGCUGGCACCUUGACGGUACCUAACCAGAAAGCCACGGCUAACUACGUGCCAGCAGCCGCCGUAA